rnacentral:lncRNA from 1 species
UUCUUGUUCUUAUUCGAUAACAUUUCGUUUUGUUUUCUUUUUCAUAUCCUUUUGUAUCUUCUUUUUGACGACGACCCAUGCUCAAGUAGUCCACCGACGGCUCUGGCCGUGGCCAGCGGGACCUUGGCCGUCAAGGCCUUGGCCAACGAGACCUUGGCCGUUUCCAUGGCCAAUGGAACCUCCACAACCUGGCCCACCACCAAACCCAUCACCAAAGCCUGGUCCAACACCUGGCCCAUCUCCAAACCCACCAAUUCCACCUAAGCCUCAACCAAAGCCACCAGCCCCUGGUCCAUCUCCAUGUCCACCAAUACCACCUAAGCCUCAACCAAAGCCGCCACCAAAGCCGCAACCAAAGCCACCACCGGCACCUACCCCGUCUCCAUGCCCACCGCAACCACCAAAGCCACAACCAAAGCCACCACCAGCACCUGGUCCAUCACCAAAUCCAGGUCCAUCACCAUCACCACCUAAGCCACCACCUAGUCCAGCUCCGAAACCUGUUCCACCACCUUCUCCAUCGCCAAAACCUAGCCCACCCAAGCCACCUUCUCCAUCGCCAAAACCUAGCCCACCCAAGCCACCUGCCCCAUCGCCAAAACCUAGCCCACCUAAGCCACCUGCCCCAUCACCACCUAAGCCACAGAACAAAACCAUACCGGCAGUGUUUUUCUUUGGUGAUUCGAUCUUUGACACAGGAAAUAACAAUAACCUAGACACAAAGCUAAAAUGUAAUUAUCGUCCCUAUGGUAUGGAUUUU